ACUCCUACGGGAGGCAGCAGUGGGGGAAUAUUGGACAAUGGGCGAAAGCCUGAUCCAGCCAUGCCGCGUGUGUGAAGAAGGUCUUCGGAUUGUAAAGCACUUUAAGUUGGGAGGAAGGGCAGUAAGUUAAUACCUUGCUGUUUUGACGUUACCAACAGAAUAAGCACCGGCUAACUUCGUGCCAGCAGCCGCGGUAAUACGAAGGGGUGCAAGCGUUAAUCGGAAUUACUGGGCGUAAAGCGCGCGUAGGUGGUUCAGCAAGUUGGAUGUGAAAUCCCCGGGGCUCAACCUGGGAACUGCAUCCAAAACUACUGAGCUAGAGUACGGUAGAGGGUGGUGGAAUUUCCUGUGUAGCGGUGAAAUGCGUAGAUAUAGGAAGGAACACCAGUGGCGAAGGCGACCACCUGGACUGAUACUGACACUGAGGUGCGAAAGCGU
rnacentral:rRNA from 1 species